GCCAGUGUGGUGUUGUGGUUAGAGUGUUGGACUAUGACUCUGGAGACCAGGGUUUGAAUCCUGGCUCUGCCA
rnacentral:tRNA from 1 species